CCUACGGGAGGCAGCAGUGAGGAAUAUUGGUCAAUGGGCUUACGCCUGAACCAGCCAAGUCGCGUGAGGGAAGACUGCCCUAUGGGUUGUAAACCUCUUUUGUCAGGGAGCAACGCCGGCUACGUGUAGCCGGACUGUGAGUACCUGAAGAAAAAGCAUCGGCUAACUCCGUGCCAGCAGCCGCGGUAAUACGUAGGUGGCAAGCGUUAUCCGGAUUUACUGGGUGUAAAGGGCGUGUAGGCGGGUAAGUAAGUCAGUUGUGAAAACCACGGGCUCAACCUGGGGACUGCAUUUGAGACUGGUUGCCUUGAGUACGGGAGAGGGAGACGGAAUUCUUAGUGUAGCGGUGAAAUGCGUAGAUAUGAGGAGGAACACCAGUGGCGAAGGCGGUCUGCUGGACAGCAACUGACGCUGAGGCGCGAAAGCGUGGGGAGCAAACAGGAUUAGAUACCCUAGUAGUC
rnacentral:rRNA from 1 species